rnacentral:rRNA from 1 species
GACGAACCGGUACGAACGUUAUUCGGAAUCACUGGGCUUAAAGGGUGCGUAGGCUGCGCGGAAAGUUGGGUGUGAAAUCCCUCGGCUCAACCGAGGAACUGCGCCCAAAACUGCCGUGCUCGAGGGAGACAGAGGUGAGCGGAACUUAGGGUGGAGCGGUGAAAUGCGUUGAUAUCCUAAGGAACACCGGUGGCGAAAGCGGCUCACUGGGGUCUCUUCUGACGCUGAGGCACGAAAGCUAGGGUAGCGAACGGG